GACGGGGGGGGCAAGUGUUCUUCGGAAUGACUUGGGGCGUAAAGGGCACGGUAGGCGGUGAAUCGGGUUGAAAGUUGAAAGUCGCCAAAAAAGUGGCGGAAUGCUCUCGAAACCAAUUCACUUGAGUGAGACAGAGGAGAGUGGAAUUUCGUGUGUAGGGGUGAAAUCCGUAGAUCUACGAAGGAACGCCAAAAAGCGAAGGCAGCCUCUCUGGGUCCCCUACCGACGCUGGGGUGCGAAAGCAUGGGGGAGC
rnacentral:rRNA from 1 species